UUUUUUCAGCCUAAAAUAUCAUGGAAGUCAUUCCUUCACAUAACUUUUCACACGAGUAUAAUACCCUUGUUUCCAAGAAGUUUCAGGAAUUUUGACUAAUUUUGCAAUUUUUAUUUUUUUUCCCAAUUCGGGUGCAUUGACACCCAAGACCCAAAGAUCCGCGUCCAUCAGACCCCUCUCAACAAAGUAGGGAAGAAUGUUAUCGUCGAGUUUUAUCUAUUUUGUCAGUUGUAGAUCCAACCACAUUUAACUUAAAUGAAGUGUUGUUACGUUGGUUUUUAGCUUGAGAAUGACAUGAUGUGUUUAUGGAAUUCUACAUGAUUAUGUUAUUGACCCAUGACGAGAAAGUUUUGAUCCUUCUAUGCCUCUGUUUUUUGUUUGUUAACUAUUAUUGUCCACUCGACAUCUCAAAUAGUAUAUAUUUUGUGAUAAUAGUGGACAUUCUCUCUGACGUAAGAACUGGACUAAUUGUUCUUUCAGUCCGAGAAGGCUUCAUGGAAUUAUGCUGGUAUUUUUAAGCUUUCCAACAUAAAGGGCAAGAAACGGGAACCAAUACCAUCUUCAGCUCUUCAUGGUGAUGAUGAUAUGGAUAGUGACAGCAGCAGCGACGAAGAUGAUGAAGAAAUCAAUGAAGAUGCAGAGCCCAUUUUGCAUUUACAAAAGGUGGCUCACGAGGGGUCGAUAAACCGAAUACGCUCAAUGAAUCAAAAUCCGGAAAUAUGUGCUACAUGGGGAGACACAGGUCAUGUUCAGGUAAUUUACUACGGUUAGUCCACAUCUGAUUUAUCAAAACCACAAAAUUUAUGCUGCACAUCAUGCCCUGCUCUUUUGAGAUAUAUCAACUUUUUUUACUGUACAUCAAACUGAAGUUUAUUAUUUUCAUUAAUUCCCUACGAAAAAGCCUCAGAAUGUACAUGGGUAGUGUCCUAUUUGCCCAGCAACAGAAUAUAUAUUCUGUGCAUUAUAUUUCCUUCCGAAAACUUGCUCAGGAACAGAAUGCAUCACAUUGUCUACUUCCAUGUGCUAUAUAAUUAGCUGCGUGCUCUGUUGAUUACAUAUGCAGGUGUGGGACUUCAGCUCCUUCAUUGCUUCAUUAGAAGACCCAGGAACAGUUACACAUAAAGAUAACAGCAUUAUGCACAAUCAUGUACCUCUAAAAGUAUUUAGUGGCCACAAAGAUGAAGGCUAUGCUAUUGAUUGGAGUCCAAAUGUUACUGGAAGACUAGUUUCUGGCGAUUGCAAUAAGUGCAUUCACCUUUGGGAGCCGACUUCAAGCGAUUGGAGUGUAGACACCAAGCCAUUUGUUGGACACUCUGCAAGUGU